AAAAUGGGCAAGAAAUUAACUACAAAAGAUGUUAACAAUUACAAGCAAAGGUUUUCUAUUCCUAUUCGCAACGAGCAGGCUCACAGAAAAAUGGUUUUAGAAAAUAUAUACACCUUGUUAGCAAAUAAUCCAAACUGGGUCAUUCACUAUGAAAAGAAUCAAAGUAAUAACCUGCAAUUUGUGCUGCUUC
rnacentral:lncRNA from 1 species